rnacentral:rRNA from 1 species
GGGCUGCAGUCGAGAAUCUUCCACAAUGGGCGAAAGCCUGAUGGAGCGACGUCGCGUGACUGAUGAAGCUUUUCGGAGUGUAAAGGUCUUUUCUAGGGGAACAAUUUUACUUCGGUAAAAUGAGCGUACCCUAGGAAUAAGGGGUGGCUAACUUCGUGCCAGAAGCCUCGGUAAUGCGAAGGCCCCAAGCGUUAUCCGGAAUUAUUGGGUGUAAAGCGUGUGUAGGCUGUUUUAAUAGUGGCUGGUCAAAUCCCGGAGCUCAACUCCGGAACUGCUGGUCAAACGUUAAGACUGGAGCAGGCGAGAGGUUAAUGGAACUUACCAAGUAGGGGUGAAAUCCGUUGAUAUGGUAGGGAACACCAAAGGCGAAGGCAAUUAACUGGCGCCUAGCUGACGCUGAGACACGAAAGCGUAGGUAGCGAACGGGAUUAGAUACCCCAGUAGUC